AUUGAACGCUGGCGGCAGGCCUAACACAUGCAAGUCGAGCGGAUGAAGGGAGCUUGCUCCUGGAUUCAGCGGCGGACGGGUGAGUAAUGCCUAGGAAUCUGCCUGGUAGUGGGGGAUAACGUCCGGAAACGGGCGCUAAUACCGCAUACGUCCUGAGGGAGAAAGUGGGGGAUCUUCGGACCUCACGCUAUCAGAUGAGCCUAGGUCGGAUUAGCUAGUUGGUGGGGUAAAGGCCUACCAAGGCGACGAUCCGUAACUGGUCUGAGAGGAUGAUCAGUCAAAGUGGAAAUGGGACACGGUCCAGACUCCCACGGGAGGCAGGAGUGGGGAAUAUUGGACAAUGGGCGGAAGGCUGAUCCGGCCAUGGCGCGUGUGUGAAGAAAGUCCUCGGAUUGUAAAGCACUUUAAGUUGGGAGGAAGGGCAGUAAGUUAAUACCUUGCUGUUUUGACGUUACCAACAGAAUAAGCACCGGCUAACUUCGUG
rnacentral:rRNA from 1 species